AGGUGGGACAGAAGGGAAGGCACCUGAUGCCUCUCUUGCUGUAGUUCACACUCCACAUUUCCACCAAACUGGUCCCUGAAGUGGUCUGCACCAAGAUGCCUGGAGCACAGUCCUGCCCAGUAGCGGUGUGGACACAGAACUGCUGCGUGUCAAAGACAUCAGGUGACAAACACUUGGCAGGGCCACCUGCUUCCCUCCAGCCCUGCUGAGACCUCCCUGCACUCCCAGGAAAACAUCUCAGGAAAACAUCUCUGAAGAACUGCCAGAGAGCAUUGGAGGCUGGGUCACUGUAGGCUGCUGUGACAUUUGCAGCCUCCUGUCUCUGCUUUGUCCUCAACAGAAUGCAGUGGAGAGCACCAAGAUCACAUGAAGGCAGGAAGAAAGAACUUUACCUGCAUUGCUGAGCUGUGAGAGAUCAGUUAAUGAUUGAAGAGGAUUUUGAAGAUGGGAAGUGUGCGGCAAUAAAACUGCAGGUUCCUAAGACAGGCCUGCAAGGCAGAUGGUAGCAGCAGACAGUUCAGGAGAAGUCACAAAGCCCAAAUUCCCCAUGGGCUGAAUGGAGAAGUUUCCAGACCAAUGUCAGGAUGGUGGCCACCAGCAGGAUGCUU